rnacentral:rRNA from 1 species
UACGGAGGAUCCAAGCGUUAUCCGGAUUUAUUGGGUUUAAAGGGUGCGUAGGCGGCUUAUUAAGUCAGGGGUGAAAGACGGUGGCUCAACCAUCGCAGUGCCUUUGAUACUGAUGAGCUUGAAUACACUUGAGGUAGGCGGAAUGUGACAAGUAGCGGUGAACUGCAUAGAUAUGUCACAGAACACCAAUUGCGAAGGCAGCUUACUAAGGUGCAAUUGACGCUGAGGCACGAAAGCGUGGGGAUCAAACAGG